rnacentral:rRNA from 1 species
CGCUAACGAGGCAGAGAUGCGUUAGGUGCCCUUCGGGGAAAGCGGAGACAGGUGGUGCAUGGUUGUCGUCAGCUCGUGUCGUGAGAUGUUGGGUUAAGUCCCGCAACGAGCGCAACCCUUACGGUUAGUUGCUACGCAAGAGCACUCUAGCCGGACCGCCGUUGACAAAACGGAGGAAGGUGGGGAUGAUGUCAAAUCAUCAUGCCCCUUAUGACCUGGGCCUCACACGUACUACAAUGGCCGUUAACAGAGGGAGGCAAAGCCGCGAGGCAGAGCAAAACCCUAAAAACGGUCUCAGUUCGGAUCGUAGGCUGCAACCCGCCUGCGUGAAGUUGGAAUUGCUAGUAAUCGCGGAUCAGCAUGCCGCGGUGAAUACGUUCCCGGGCCUUGUACACACCGCCCGUCACACCAUGGGAGCCGGUAAUGCCCGAAGUCAGUAGCCUAACCGCAAGGAGGGCGCUGCCGAAGGUAGGAUUGGCGACUGGGGUGAAGUCGUAACAAGGUAGCCGU